rnacentral:rRNA from 1 species
UACGUAGGGUGCAAGCGUUGUCCGGAAUUAUUGGGCGUAAAGGGCUCGUAGGCGGUCCAUCACGUCGGGAGUGAAAAGCUGGGGCUUAACCCCAGUCCUGCUUCCGAUACGGGUGGACUAGAGGUAGGUAGGGGAGAACGGAAUUCCUGGUGUAGCGGUGAAAUGCGCAGAUAUCAGGAGGAACACCGGUGGCGAAGGCGGUUCUCUGGGCCUGUGCUGACGCUGAGGAGCGAAAGCGUGGGGAGCGAACAGG